rnacentral:tRNA from 1 species
GCUAGCUCAGUCAGUAGAGCAUGGGACUCUUAAUCCCAGGGUCAUGGGUUCAUGCCCCAGCAAGAGCA